rnacentral:rRNA from 1 species
AUUGAACGCUGGCGGCAGGCCUAACACAUGCAAGUCGAGCGGAUGAAGGGAGCUUGCUCCUGGAUUCAGCGGCGGACGGGUGAGUAAUGCCUAGGAAUCUGCCUGGUAGUGGGGGAUAACGUCCGGAAACGGGCGCUAAUACCGCAUACGUCCUGAGGGAGAAAGUGGGGGAUCUUCGGACCUCACGCUAUCAGGUGAGCCUAGGUCGGAUUAGCUAGUUGGUGGGGUAAAGGCCUACCAAGGCGACGAUCCGUAACUGGUCUGAGAGGAUGAUCAGUCACACUGGAACUGAGACACGGUCCAGACUCCUACGGGAGGCAGCAGUGGGGAAUAUUGGACAAUGGGCGAAAGCCUGAUCCAGCCAUGCCGCGUGUGUGAAGAAGGUCUUCGGAUUGUAAAGCACUUUAAGUUGGGAGGAAGGGCAGUAAGUUAAUACCUUGCUGUUUUGACGUUACCAACAGAAUAAGCACCGGCUAACUUCG